rnacentral:rRNA from 1 species
UACAGAGGUGGCAAGCGUUGUUCGGAAUUACUGGGCGUAAAGGGCGCGUAGGCGGCCUUCUAAGUCAGACGUGAAAUCCCCCGGCUUAACCUGGGAACUGCGUCUGAUACUGGGAGGCUUGAGUAUGGGAGAGGGAUGUAGAAUUCCAGGUGUAGCGGUGAAAUGCGUAGAUAUCUGGAGGAAUACCGGUGGCGAAGGCGGCAAUCCUGGGACCAUUACGUGACGCUGAGGCGCGGAAAGCUACGGGGAGCAAAGCGGGG